AGAGUUUGAUCAUGGCUCAGGACGAACGCUGGCGGCGUGCUUAACACAUGCAAGUCGAGGGGGGUGGGGCAACCCACUCACCGGCGAACGGGUGCGUAACACGUGAGCGACUGGUCCUACAGGUGGGGGAUAGCCGGCCCAACGGCCGGGUAAUACCGCAUACGUUCCCUUGGGGGCAUCCCUGGGGGAGGAAAGCCUAUAUGGCGCCUGAGGAGGGGCUCGCGGCCUAUCAGCUAGUUGGCGAGGUAACGGCUCACCAAGGCACCGACGGGUAGCUGGUCUGAGAGGAUGGCCAGCCACAUUGGGACUGAGAAACGGCCCAGACUCCUACGGGAGGCAGCAGUGGGGAAUCUUGCGCAAUGGCCGAAAGGCUGACGCAGCGACGCCGCGUGUGGGAGGAAGCCCUUCGGGGUGUAAACCACUGUUGCCCGGGACGAACGGCGGGGAAUGCCCCGCGUGACGGUACCGGGUGAGGAAGCACCGGCUAACUCCGUGCCAGCCGCCGCGGUAAUAC
rnacentral:rRNA from 1 species